GAUGAACGCUAGCUACAGGCUUAACACAUGCAAGUCGAGGGGCAGCGGUAUCGAAAGCUUGCUUUCGGUAGCCGGCGACCGGCGCACGGGUGAGUAACGCGUAUCGAACCUGCCUCAUACUCGGGAAUAGCCUUGCGAAAGUAAGAUUAAUGCCCGGUGUUUUCAGAGUCCCGCAUGAGGCUUUGAACAAAGAUUUAUCGGUAUGAGAUGGCGAUGCGUCCCAUUAGCUUGUUGGCGGGGUAACGGCCUACCAAGGCAUCGAUGGGUAGGGGUUCUGAGAGGAAGGUCCCCCACAUUGGAACUGAGACACGGUCCAAACUCCUACGGGAGGCAGCAGUGAGGAAUAUUGGUCAAUGGGCGGAAGCCUGAACCAGCCAAGUAGCGUGCAGGAAGACGGCCCUCCGGGUUGUAAACUGCUUUUAGUUGGGAAUAAAACGGGGCUCGUGAGCCCCCUUGCAUGUACCAUCAGAAAAAGAACCGGCUAAUUCCGUG
rnacentral:rRNA from 1 species